GUGAAAUAUUACCUAGCUCUUUAGGAUUUUACAUUGUAGAAACACAAUCUUAAUUCUGAUGAAAAGUGUAAUCCAUGUAAUGUAAAAAUUAUGCCAAUUUGAAUUCAUGUGUUUAGUUUACACUAAACAUGUGUUAGUGUAAGGUAAAAACCUGAAGGGCGUCAACAUUUAGCUUUAUAUCAAAUAAGUUCAUGAUUAUUAUUAUUGAAACAUAUAUGCUCUCUGAGAAUGCUCCAUUAUUUCAAAAUAAUGUGUGAAUAUAAUAUGUUGGCCAUAUAUGAAUACUGAUGUUUUAGCAUUUUACCUUAAAAUAUAACACAAAAAAAUCAAAAUCUAAUAUUAAAAAAAAACACAUAACAAAACAAACAAAACCUACCAAUAGAUAUAAGAAGAUGUGGUAUGAGUGCCAAUGAGACAACUCUCCAUCCAAGUCAAAAUUUAUAAAAGUAAACCAUUAUUCUACAAUAACUAGAAUUAGGCUAUUCAUAUUUACUUAAUAUAACAUUCUACCGACCUUGCAAGACACUCAAGGGAAGUCAGGGUUGUUAAACACCCCCUAGUAGAAGUAGAAGAUUCUACCGACCUUGCAAGACACUCAAGGGAAGUCAAGGUUGUUAAACACCCCCUAGUAGAAGUAGAAGAUUCUACCGACCUUGCAAGACACUCAAGGGUAGUCAAGGUUGUUAAACACCCCCUAGUAGAAGUAGAAGAUUCUACCGACCUUGCAAGACACUCAAGGGUAGUCAAGGUUGUUAAACACCCCCUAGUAGAAGUAGAAGAUUCUACCGACCUUGCAAGACACUCAAGGGUAGUCAAGGUUGUUAAACACCCCCUAGUAGAAGUAGAAGAUUCUACCGACCUUGCAAGACACUCAAGGGUAGUCAAGGUUGUUAAACACCCCCUAGUAGAAGUAUAAGAUUCU